rnacentral:rRNA from 1 species
AGGACUGUCGCCAACGGAUAUAUGGGCUCUCGCAUUGAUGAAGAACGUAGCGAAAUGCGAUACUUGGUGUGAAUUGCAGAAUCCCGUGAACCAUCGAGUUUUUGAACGCAAGUUGCGCCCGAAGCCACUAGGCCGAGGGCACGUGAGCCUGGGUGUCA